rnacentral:rRNA from 1 species
CCCGGUGAUUUUAGCGGAGGGGUCCCACCCGUUCCCAUUUCGAACACGGCAGUUAAGCCCUCCAGCGUCGAUGGUACUAUGCGGGCAACUGUAUGGGAGAGUAGAACGUCGCCGGGU